rnacentral:ribozyme from 1 species
UAUCUUACAAAAACUCACCAAUGACCUUCUCAAAUUUAGAAAAACUAAUUGGCUUAUCGAUGACAACCUCGGCGCCGCAGUUGAGAAAGUAGUCAACCUCA